rnacentral:rRNA from 1 species
UACGAAGGGGGCUAGCGUUGCCGUCGAAUCACUGGGCGUAAAGGGUGCGUAGGCGGGUCUUUAAGUCAGAGGUGAAAUCCUGGAGCUCAACUCCAGAACUGCCUUUGAUACUGAGGAUCUUGAGUUCGGGAGAGGUGAGUGGAACUGCGAGUGUAGAGGUGAAAUUCGUAGAUAUUCGCAAGAACACCAGUGGCGAAGGCGGCUCACUGGCCCGGUACUGACGCUGAGGUGCGAAAGCUAGGGGAGCGAACGGGG